CCACGCGGUUGCUUAGUCUGACCGAAGAUGAAGUUUUCCCUGGGCUUGCUAGUGCUCCUUUUAGGCGCCGCCUUGGUGGCCGCCGAUCGUGACUAUGAAGGCUAUCGCAUUUAUGAGGUUAUUCCCUCAACCAUCGACCAGGCCAAGUUGCUGCAUCAGCUCAGCUUUGAAGGAUUUGAUUUCCUCAGCGAGAGUCGCCUCUUGGGACAUCCUUCUCAAGUGAUUGUUAGCCCCGAACAGCUGGAGCAGUUUCAGCAGCUCCUUGAGGCCCAUCAGAUUGACAGUAGUGUUGUCAACUCCAACCUGGGUGCUUCCAUUGCCGAGGAGUUUGCCCAGAGGCAGAUGCAGCGGCUCCUGAGUCCCAUCACGGGCAAGGGUCGCCUGAGCAACGAGCGCUAUUACAACCACGAGGAGAUUAUUAACUACAUCGAUGACCUGGCCAAGCGGUAUCCCCAUCGUGUAUAUGUGAAAACCGUGGGCUGGUCCUACGAGAAGCGAGUCCUGAAGACCAUCACCAUCACGAAUGGCGACGGUAAGGCCGGCAAGAAGGUGAUUUUCUUGGAUGGCGGCUUCCAUGCCAGAGAAUGGAUCUCCCCGGCGGCGGUUCUGUAUGUCAUUGAUCAGCUGGUGGAGCAGUUCGAGCAGAAUGCCCAUCUGCUGCAGGACUACGACUGGGUCAUUCUGCCCCUGGUCAAUGCCGAUGGCUAUGAGCACUCACAGACCGGAACCCUUGCCCGCAUGUGGCGUAAAACCCGUCAGCCAUACAACUACGCCGGACAGACCUGCUACGGAGCGGAUCCCAACCGUAACUUUGCGUUCCACUGGAACGAGGAGGGCGCCUCAUCGAAUCCCUGCUCGGAUACCUAUGCUGGUCCCACUGCCUUCUCCGAGCCGGAGACGAUUGUGGUGCGGGAUCUGAUGCAUUCGCUGGCUGAUCGGGGCAUUAUGUACCUCACCAUCCACUCGUACGGCAACUAUCUGCUGUAUCCUUGGGGCUGGACUUCCGAUCUUCCCGAUAACUGGGAAGAUCUGGAUGCUGUUGCCCGUACUGGAGCCGAGGCCAUUGAGAACGCCACCGGCACCGUCUACACGUACGGAUCCUCCACAAAUGUCCUCUACAUCGCUGCUGGUGCUAGUGAUGACUAUGGCUACUAUGCUGGGUUCAAUGUGUCCAUCACCAUGGAGCUGACUGGAGCUGGCAGCAUUGGAUUCAAUCCGCCAGUAACCCGCAUCGAUGAGUUCGUCACAGAGACCUGGAUCGGUAUCCGUGCCAUGGCUGAAAAACUUCUAGAGAUGUACUAGAAAAUUAUUUUAUAUUGUUUUAAUAAAUUAACACAUUUUUUGAAAUGAAAAAUCUAGCGAAUCAAGCAACCUGUGACCCUCCAUUCAAACCGAAAUUCCCCUAUGUACUGGAGCUCAGCUCUACCUACAUUCAGUCUAAAUCGUAAACCCGAUCAGAACACAACAAUUUCUAGAAAAAAACACAUUUUUUAAAUAAAAUUCGAGUUGAUUGUAUUUUUCGGUAAAUUUGUACGCUUAUAAGCAAGAUUGAAAUUAUGAAUACCAUGAAUUCAUUUGGUCGCGACAAAAACGAUGGCUUCAACAACUUUCUCGAGAAUUACACAUUGCGAGUGACUGAAGCAGCCGCGCGUUACUGGGACAAUAUGCCCGAGGAAGAGCAAGAUAUGUUCCUUCCUGAAAAAAAGGAAGACGAGAAGGGCAGCGCCAGUGAACGAAUGUGCGCUAAACCGAAGAGGGCUUGUGCCAAGCCUAAAAAGAAGUCUUGCCGAAAGCCUAUGAAGAAGGCAUGCCCAAUGAAGUGCAAACGUCCGAAGCCAAGGUGCGCCAAGCCAAAGCGCCGUUGCGCAAAACCAAAGCCAGCUUGCCCCAGACGGAAGAUGUCGCCGAUGUGCCCCAAACCAAAACCAACUUGUCCUUAGAGCAUGUCAACGCUAUACGAGGUCGACGCAUAUAUGCAGCCCUCCGCUUAAACGGAGAGAAUCCCUAAAGGAAACGUAAAAUUUAGUCUUGUCCAAAACACUUUUCUAAAAAUACGAUAUUCGGCAAUUCGAGGUCAAGGCAAGCUCUCAGCUUAAGCAAAGCCUCCUUAAAAUAAUUUUGAAAAUAUAAAGUCUUGUCAGAAAUA